AUGAUCUCCAGUUCCCUGCCAGGAGUUACAGAAAAUCCCUCUAAUAGUGCCCCUACUCUCUCAUCAAUAUGAUGUUCGGAAGAAGGUUCAGCUGCAGUCAAAUUAUCCCCAUGACAUGGUACAAUCUCUGAUGGAGGAGGAAAAGUAUCCACAGCUACCUGGUCAUUAAGUUGAGCUAGAUCACACUUAUCUUCCAAGACAUUACCAGAAGCCUCGGGAGGGCUCACCAUCUGUGUAACUACAUCUGAAACAACUGAUGGAAAAUUUACAGUUGCCAUUGGAGAAACUGCAUUCUCAACAGUAACCCACCUUUCACUAUCUGCAUGUUUGACAAAGUGGUCAGCCACAAUAUACCCCUCUUCCACCAGUGACUUCAGCUUGCAUAAUCUGGAAGGUCCUUGUUCCACACCAAACUGAUCGACGUAAUACCACUUUCCAAUGGCUCCUUCUG
rnacentral:misc_RNA from 1 species